GGACGAACGCUGGCGGCGUGCUUAACCCAUGCAAGUCGAACGAGAGCGUAGAGAAAGCUUGCUUUUUCUACAAUCUAGUGGCAAACGGGUGAGUAACGCGUAAACAACCUGCCCUACGGAUGGGGACAACAGCUGGAAACGGCUGCUAAUACCGAAUACGUUCCGAAAGUCGCAUGACUAUCGGAAGAAAGGAUGGCCUCUAUUUAUAAGCUAUCGCCGGAGGAGGGGUUUGCGUCUGAUUAGCUAGUUGGAGGGGUAACGGCCCACCAAGGCGACGAUCAGUAGCCGGUCUGAGAGGAUGAACGGCCACAGUGGAACUGAGACACGGUCCAGACUCCUACGGGAGGCAGCAGUGGGGAAUCUUCCGCAAUGGGCGAAAGCCUGACGGAGCAACGCCGCGUGAGUGAAGACGGCCUUCGGGUUGUAAAGCUCUGUUAUACGGGACGAAUAAUCUUGUGGUUAAUACCCAUGAGAAGUGACGGUACCGUAAGAGAAAGCCACGGCUAACUACGUG
rnacentral:rRNA from 1 species